UACGUAGGGUGCGAGCGUUGUCCGGAAUUAUUGGGCGUAAAGAGCUUGUAGGCGGUCUGUCGCGUCUGCUGUGAAAAUCCGGGGCUCAACCCCGGACUUGCAGUGGGUACGGGCAGACUAGAGUGUGGUAGGGGAGACUGGAAUUCCCGGUGUAGCGGUGAAAUGCGCAGAUAUCGGGAGGAACACCAAUGGCGAAAGCAGCUCUCUGGGACGGUACUGACGCUGAGACGCGAAAGCGUGGGGAGCGAACAGG
rnacentral:rRNA from 1 species